rnacentral:rRNA from 1 species
UACGAAGGGGGCUAGCGUUGUUCGGAAUUACUGGGCGUAAAGCGCGCGCAGGCGGUCUUCCAAGUCAGUGGUGAAAGCCUGGAGCUCAACUCCAGAACUGCCAUUGAAACUGUUAGACUUGAGUACGAGAGAGGUGAGUGGAAUUCCCAGUGUAGAGGUGAAAUUCGUAGAUAUUGGGAAGAACACCGGUGGCGAAGGCGGCUCACUGGCUCGUAACCGACGCUCAGGCGCGACAGCGUGGGGAUCAAACAGG